rnacentral:rRNA from 1 species
GACGAACGCUGGCGGCGUGCCUAAUACAUGCAAGUCGAACGCACUCUCGUUUAGAUUGAAGGAGUUUGCUCCUGAUUGAUAAACAUUUGAGUGAGUGGCGGACGGGUGAGUAACACGUGGGUAACCUGCCCUAAAGUGGGGGAUAAACAUUUGGAAACAGAUGCUAAUACCGCAUAAAACCUAACACCGCAUGGUGUAGGGUUGAAAGAUGGUUUCGGCUAUCACUUUAGGAUGGACCCGCGGUGCAUUAGUUAGUUGGUGAGGUAAAGGCUCACCAAGACCGUGAUGCAUAGCUGACCUGAGAGGGUAAUCGGCCACACGUGGGACUGAGAC